CAGGAUUGGUUUAGUGAUCAUGAAGUCCUUCAGUUUUUGUUUGUCUGGGAAAACCUUUACCUCUCCUAUUCUGAAUCACAGCCGUGCUGGAUAAAGGGUUCUUGGCUGUAUAUUUUUCCUAUUCAGAACAUUGAAUAUUUCCUGCUAC